rnacentral:rRNA from 1 species
AACGAACGCUGGCGGCAGGCCUAGCACAUGCAAGUCGAGCGCGCCCUUCGGAGUGAGUGGCGGACGGGUGAGUAACGCGUGAGAAUCUGGCUGUGGGUCGGGGACAACCACUGGAAACGGUGGCUAAUACCGGAUGAGCCGAAAGGUAAAAGAUUUAUUGCCCACAGAUGAGCUCGCGUCUGAUUAGCUAGUUGGUAAGGUAAAAGCGUACCAAGGCGACGAUCAGUAGCUGGUCUGAGAGGAUGAGCAGCCACACUGGGACUGAGACACGGCCCAGACUCCUACGGGAGGCAGCAGUGGGGAAUUUUCCGCAAUGGGCGAAAGCCUGACGGAGCAAGACCGCGUGGGGGAGGAAGGCUCUAGGGUUGUAAACCCCCUUUUUCUUUGGGAAGAAGAAAGUGACGGUACCAAAGGAAUCAGCCUCGGCUAAC